rnacentral:rRNA from 1 species
UGCAGUCGAGGGAGAAGUUUAAUGCUUGCAUUAAACAGAAACCGGCGCACGGGUGCGUAACACGUAUGCAACCUACCUUUAACUGGGGUAUAGCUUGAAGAAAUUCAAAUUAAUCCCCCAUAACAUAUUGAAAUCGCAUGAUUACAAUAUCAAAGCUCCGGCGGUUAAAGAUGGGCAUGCGUCCCAUUAGUUAGUUGGUGAGGUAACGGCUCACCAAGACCGCGAUGGGUAGCGGGUUUGAGAGGAUGAUCCGCCACACUGGUACUGAGACACGGACCAGACUCCUACGGGAGGCAGCAGUAGGGAAUAUUGGGCAAUGGACGAAAGUCUGACCCAGCCAUGCCGCGUGCAGGAAGACAGCCCUAUGGGUCGUAAACUGCUUUUAUAUAGGAAGAAACCCCUUGUUUCUACAAGGGCUGACGGUACUAUACGAAUAAGGAUCGGCUAACUCCGUGCCAGCAGCCGCGGUAAUACGGAGGAUCCAAGCGUUGUCCGGAUUUAUUGGGUUUAAAGGGUGCGUAGGCGGGACAAUAAGUCAGUGGUGAAAGCCUGCAGCUUAACUGUAGAAUUGCCAUUGAAACUGUUGUUCUUGAGUCCGGUUGAGGUUGAUGGAAUAUAUCAUGUAGCGGUGAAAUGCUUAGAUAUGAUAUAGAACACCAAUUGCGAAGACAGUCAACUAAACCGGUACUGACGCUGAGGCACGAAAGCGUGGGGAGCGAACAGGAUUAGAUACCCUGGUAGUCCACGCUGUAAACGAUGUUCACUCGCUGUUGGCGAUACACUGUCAGCGGCCAAGCGAAAGCAUUAAGUGAACCACCUGGGGAGUACGAUCGCAAGGUUGAAACUCAAAGGAAUUGACGGGGGCCCGCACAAGCGGUGGAGCAUGUGGAUUAAUUCGAUGAUACGCGAGGAACCUUACCAGGGCUUAAAUGGCAUCUGCCUUUUG